GAUGAACGCUGGCGGCGUGCCUAAUACAUGCAAGCCGAGCGAAUGGAUUAAGAGCUUGCUCUUAUGAAGUUAGCGGCGGACGGGUGAGUAACACGUGGGUAACCUGCCCAUAAGACUGGGAUAACUCCGGGAAACCGGGGCUAAUACCGGAUAACAUUUUGAACCGCAUGGUUCGAAAUUGAAAGGCGGCUUCGGCUGUCACUUAUGGAUGGACCCGCGUCGGAUUAGCUAGUUGGUGAGUUAACGGCUCACCAAGGCAACGAUGCGUAGCCGACCUGGGGGGGUGAUCGGCCACACUGGGACUGAGACACGGCCCAGACUCCUACGGGAGGCAGCAGUAGGGAAUCUUCCGCAAUGGACGAAAGUCUGACGGAGCAACGCCGCGUGAGUGAUGAAGGCUUUCGGGUCGUAAAACUCUGUUGUUAGGGAAGAACAAGUGCUAGUUGAAUAAGCUGGCACCUUGACGGUACCUAACCAGAAAGCCACGGCUAACUACGUGCCAGCAGCCGCCGUAA
rnacentral:rRNA from 1 species